CUCCAGGUGUUGCUGAACUACAACUCCCAUGAUUCUCAGCCUCUUUCAUUCAUAGAAUCAUGGGAGUUGUAGUUCAGCAACACCUGGAG
rnacentral:miRNA from 1 species